UGGAGAGUUUGAUCCUGGCUCAGGACGAACGCUGGCGGCGUGCUUAACACAUGCAAGUCGAACGGAAAGGCCUCUUCGGAGGUACUCGAGUGGCGAACGGGUGAGUAACACGUGGGUAAUCUGCCCUGCACUUCGGGAUAAGCCUGGGAAACUGGGUCUAAUACCGGAUAUGACCACGAGACGCAUGUCCUGUGGUGGAAAGCUUUUGCGGUGUGGGAUGGGCCCGCGGCCUAUCAGCUUGUUGGUGGGGUGACGGCCUACCAAGGCGACGACGGGUAGCCGGCCUGAGAGGGUGUCCGGCCACACUGGGACUGAGAUACGGCCCAGACUCCUACGGGAGGCAGCAGUGGGGAAUAUUGCACAAUGGGCGCAAGCCUGAUGCAGCGACGCCGCGUGGGGGAUGACGGCCUUCGGGUUGUAAACCUCUUUCAGCAGGGACGAAGCGCAAGUGACGGUACCUGCAGAAAAAGCACCGGCCAACUACGUGCCAGCAGCCGCGGUA
rnacentral:rRNA from 1 species